AUUGAACGCUGGCGGCAGGCUUAACACAUGCAAGUCGAGCGAGCGGCGGACGGGUGAGUAAUGUCUGGGAAACUGCCCGAUGGAGGGGGAUAACUACUGGAAACGGUAGCUAAUACCGCAUACCAUCGGAUGUGCCCAGAUGGGAUUAGCUAGGAGGUGGGGUAAAGGCUCACCUAGGCGACGAUCCCUAGCUGGUCUGAGAGGAUGACCAGCAACACGGGAACUGAGAAACGGUCCAGACUCCUACGGGAGGAAGAAGUGGGGAUUAUUGGACAAGGGGCGAAAGCCGGAUGCAGCCAUGCCGCGGGUAUGAAGAAGGCCUUCGGGUUGUAAAGUACUUUCAGCGGGGAGGCGGUACCCGCAGAAGAAGCACCGGCUAACUCCGUGCCAGCAGCCGCGGUAAUAC
rnacentral:rRNA from 1 species